GCAUCAAUGGUUUAAUGGUCAGAAUUGGUCGUUGCCAGCACCUCCUUGCUAUCUCGACUAGAUCCCGGUUCGAUUCCGGGUUGAUGCA